CCCGCUGAACUUAAGCAUAUCAAUAAGCGGAGGAAAAGAAACCAACAGGGAUUGCCUUAGUAACUGCGAGUGAAGUGGCAAUAGCUCAGAUUUGAAAUCUGGUCGUCAAGACCCGAGUUGUAAUCUGGAGAGGAAUCUUUGGGCUACGAUGAAUCUGAGAUCCUUGGAAUAUGACACCAUAGAGGGUGAGAGUCCCGUUUAGAUUCAAUCUUAGUCUAUAUCAAGAUCCUUCGAUGAGUCGCGUAGUCCGGGACUGCUGCGCAAAUUGGGAGGUAAACUCCUCCUAAAGCUAAAUACUGGCCAGAGACCGAUAGCGCACAACUAGAGUGAUCGAAAGAUGAAAAGCACUUUGAAAAGAGAGUCUAACAGUACGUGAAAUUGUUGAAAGAGAAGCACUUAUGACCAGACUUGAUCUUUGUAAAUCUUAAAGCUUCUCGCUUUGAUAUUUUACUAGUUCAGGCCAGUAUUAGUUUUUGGUAGAGGAUAAAAAUAGUUGGAAUGUGGCUCUUCGGAGUGUUAUAGCCACCUGUAUAAUACUCUCACAAAGACUAAGGGUUGCGCUUUUGCAAUGAUACUGGCAUAAUGGUCAUUAGUGGCCCGUCUUGAAACACGG
rnacentral:rRNA from 1 species